rnacentral:rRNA from 1 species
UACGAAGGGGGCUAGCGUUGCUCGGAAUUACUGGGCGUAAAGGGCGCGUAGGCGGACAGUUUAGUCAGAGGUGAAAGCCCAGGGCUCAACCUUGGAAUUGCCUUUGAUACUGGCUGUCUUGAGUUCGGGAGAGGUGAGUGGAAUGCCGAGUGUAGAGGUGAAAUUCGUAGAUAUUCGCAAGAACACCAGUGGCGAAGGCGGCUCACUGGCCCGUUACUGACGCUGAGGUGCGAAAGCGUGGGGAGCAAACAGG